UACGGGGGGGGCUAGCGUUGUUCGGAAUUACUGGGCGUAAAGGGCGCGUAGGCGGUCUACUAAGUUGGAUGUGAAAACUCUGGGCUUAACCCAGAGCCUGCAUUCAAAACUGAUAGGCUGGAGUUCUGGAGGGGAUAGCGGAAUUCCUGGUGUAGCGGUGAAAUGCGUAGAUAUCAGGAGGAACACCGGUGGCGAAGGCGGCUAUCUGGACAGAAACUGACGCUGAGGCGCGAAAGCUAGGGGAGCAAACAGG
rnacentral:rRNA from 1 species